rnacentral:piRNA from 1 species
UGCCCAAUGCUAAUCACUCAUGCUCUGA